AACGAACGUUGGCGGCAGGCUUAACACAUGCAAGUCGAGCGGAGAUGAGGUGCUUGCACCUUAUCUUAGCGGCGGACGGGUGAGUAAUGCUUAGGAAUCUGCCUAUUAGUGGGGGACAACAUUCCGAAAGGAAUGCUAAUACCGCAUACGCCCUACGGGGGAAAGCAGGGGAUCUUCGGACCUUGCGCUAAUAGAUGAGCCUAAGUCGGAUUAGCUAGUUGGUGGGGUAAAGGCCUACCAAGGCGACGAUCUGUAGCGGGUCUGAGAGGAUGAACCGCCACACUGGGACUGAGACACGGCCCAGACUCCUACGGGAGGCCGCAGUGGGGAAUAUUGGACAAUGGGCGGAAGCCUGAUCCAGCCAUGCCGCGUGUGUGAAGAAGGCCUUUUGGUUGUAAAGCACUUUAAGCGAGGAGGAGGCUACCUGGAUUAAUACUCUAGGAUAGUGGACGUUACUCGCAGAAUAAGCACCGGCUAACUCUGUGCAGCCGCCGCGGUAACAC
rnacentral:rRNA from 1 species